UGGCAAGAUUUGUCACUUUGCCUUAGAACAGCUGAGAGAGAGAGAGAGAGAGAGAGAGAGAGAGAGAUCACUUUAGAGAAAGAGGGCUCUGCCCCGCAAAAAAUUCAAAGGGCUCCCUUCUGUUGGGAGGAUAGUUCUUCCGCGGCCCCUGCGCGGGCUGUGAAAGGGACGAAGAUGGCUUUUUGCCCACCUGCUUCUUCCAGGCGGAGCAGGUGUGAAACCGCAGCCGCCAUUCCACUCCUCGGGCAGCAGGCGGCUCCCGCGCCGUGCUGGCGCUGCCUCGGAACCGGCUGGCUGCCCACAGAGCGAAGAAGGGAGGCGGACGAGGGCAGGAAAUUUCCUGCUCGGCGGCGAGCGAGGUUCUUGCAGCCGCCACAAGCAAGCAGGGUGAAUGCCAGGGCGUCCCCCGCUUGCUGCUCCUGCCGCCACCGCCUCCGUUUGCAAGUGGCGGCCCGGGGGGAGGGCAUGAGGAGUCGGCGCGCCUGGAGGAGCCGAGCUGGGCGAGCCCCCCGAAGCCUAUAGCAUCUUCUUCUAGUAGGUGAGUACACCACCCAUUUUAACAAUUAAUGACCAGCAUUUUCAUAUGUGGGUGGGUUGGUUUUUUUAAACCUUGUAUAUUAUAUGAAGUUAACAGUUUGAAUCUAUAUUUAUAUACCAAAUGAAGUAUAUUUAAAUUUUGUAGGUCAGGUUAUGAGAGAUGGCCCUCAUUAAAGUAUGUUUUGUAGAGGUUGGAAAUGCAAGUGCACAGAGUAUAACUUAGCCUGCACUUUUCCAUUAACUUGGAAAAGAGGUUUCAUAUGACAUUUGAAACUCCAGUUAGGAAGCAUGGUAAUAGAAAACAAUGGUAUUGAUGGCUCUUGGUCCUCACACUCAUCUGCUAUUGAAAAAACAAUGGUUGAAAAAGAAUUCUUCUAGAGUCAUAUUGGGAGAACAAUACUGCUCUCAUUAUCAUUUAAUUAAUUGCAUUAAGUUCUCUGAGUCAGGUUUUUAAAAAUAAAAUAUGAUUCAACAAAAAGGCA
rnacentral:lncRNA from 1 species